rnacentral:rRNA from 1 species
UGGGGAAUCUUGGACAAUGGGGGCAACCCUGAUCCAGCGACGCCGCGUGGGUGACGAAGGCCUUCGGGUUGUAAAGCCCUUUUGCCGGGGACGAUGAUGACGGUACCCGGAGAAUAAGCACCGGCUAACUCCGUGCCAGCAGCCGCGGUAAGACGGAGGGUGCUAGCGUUGUUCGGAAUUACUGGGCGUAAAGGGCGCGUAGGCGGCCGCUUAAGUCGGGUGUGAAAGCCCGGGGCUCAACCCCGGAACUGCAUCCGAGACUGGGUGGCUGGAGAUCGGGAGAGGAGAGUGGAAUACCCAGUGUAGAGGUGAAAUUCGUAGAUAUUGGGUGGAACACCGGUGGCGAAAGCGGCUCUCUGGCCCGAUUCUGACGCUGAGGCGCGAAAGCGUGGGGAGCAAA